UCAUGUCAACGCUACAGAAAUUUCAGCAAUUAGUCCUAUCCUUCCCUCAAUCAAAUCUGAAUCAACAGAGCUUGCAUUUGUUCAUGGCCUCCAUCAUUUCAGAGCUAACGCUUGUUACACACAAGUUGGAAUUGUCUAUUUGCAAUUGCUCACGAACUCAUAUUUUUAGGACCGAAAAAAAACCCACUGUUUGAAAUGUGGAGCCUGUAGUUUGUUUCCUUGGGUUUGUGUUGGAAAACCUUGCCUUAUUCGUAUCGCAGUUGUUCAUGCAAACAAUUGGUCCUCUAACACACCUUACAGUGAAACAGAUGAAAUUGACUGUGAAAACGGAUGUCGCCCGUUACUGAGCUUGUAGAGUAACAUAUGGACUCUCGUCCGGAGUACAACAACCAUAUAAACAUAGAUAGAGGAGUUUUGCAGGGGGUAUGUCGCAAUUUAUAAAUAUUACAACGGCUGAUUAUCAAUAAUACAACCAGAGACAUCUAUAACAUGUUAUAUGUAUCUUUGUACAUGUAACAAUGGACAAUGUCAAUUUGUUAAAUUAUCUAGAUCGCCAAAUCUAAUAAAACAGAAAUGUGCGUUAAAUAAU